UAUACUGAACGGUGUUAUGCUAAAGUCUCUCGAGAAAACCUCGACAGCACAGCCGGAGCGAUGGCAGAACAAUAUUCAUGGGCAAUAUCGCGCAGCACUGCAGCAGUAAUGCUGGUGUAUUCUGAAUCCAAAUUCAACCAAUUUAGUACUUUUAUUUUCUCCAGUGCCGCCAUGGUCACAGUCAGCCACUACUCACCGCGACAUUGCUCCUACCCUUGGUAACUACUAUCGUAUGUCAAUGCAGAGAAGACGCGUUUCUUCGAGCCGCUGAGAAACUAUCUGUGCCUAUAAAUGAAUUCUACUGCUCCAAUUUAACUAGAGGGCAGACAUGGGUAGAUUGGAAGACAAGAGUGGUUGAAUUGCCGAAGCAACAUAUUGAUAGCCCAGACUCAAAUAUUGUUAUUGACUAUUUCGUGCAUUGGCCCUGGUACCUAAUAGGAGUUCAUUUGAUGGUCUGCAACUCCGUCGGCCACCGACCCAACAUCAGCUGGCCUGCGCAGGGCUACUCUCCUGUUACGUCCAGCUGUUCCACUGAGGACUCCCCAAGGUGCCCUGUGGGGUUAGAGAUCUUCAUGGUGCAGUACCAGACCUGGUGGCCUUGGCCUUGAAAAGAUUAAGUGCUUAAAUACUACUAGUGGGUGUCGU